UCACUCAGCGAUCGACUUUGUAAACUGCUGACAGUCCGGUAUGGAAAUCCUGAUCUAAAAAUCACAUUUGAGAACUUUGCCUGUUUCAUGCUACGUGUGGAACUUAUGAUGGAAGCCUUUUAUAAUAUGACCAAAGAUGGCAAAGGUAUCUACCUUCUAGAGUCUGAGUGGAUGACGAUGACACUGUAUUCAUGAAAUACUAAAAGAGAAUAACUCAGUUGAGCUACAUUGGCCCUUCAAACCCAGAAGCCAAAAUCCUGAAUUCUAAUGUGACUUUUAUUAUAAGAUUACAGUAACAGAAUCUUGGAAGUCUGAAUGUGCCUCUUCCUCUCCUACUCUUACAUUCCAGAAAACUAAGGAGAGUCAAUUCUGAGGUGCUUACCCUAAUUACAUUCCUGUUUUGGACUCAGAUUUUAUUGAUCAGAAUAUUGUCUAGGUUGCAGCUCUUCCUCCUGUCUCUCAAACUUGUUCUCACAGAAUGAAGGCAACUUCUUAUUGAGUGUUGGGUAUGGUGCUUGACAUUUUGAGUCAGGCUUAUCUUUCUUGUGAAGCUCAAAAGUGUUUCAUGCAUUAUGAGUAAUUCCACUCUUCUAUUAAGGAUUGCUUGUGGGUUCAAAAUACUUUGAAAAUAUUGUUUGUUCAGGGGGAUUUAUUUUUAAAAGUAAAUCUGAGUUACAGAGGAAUUACUUGGGCAGCAGUCUGGAUUGACUAUUACGUUAAGCCAUAAAUCAUUUAAAAACUUUUUCUGCAGUUAGAUCACAAUGGCUACAGUUAUAUCUUCUUAGUAGCAAGGGGCAAACCAACACAAAGUGACCUAAAUGGCCUCAUAGCAAUGUUUCUCAAAAAAACACCGUUUUCAAAUUUGUUUGAGGCUUAAGAUUGGUUUUGGUGGCUGUUUUUCCCCUCUUCUUCCAAUAGUAUUUCUGGUUUCUAGCAAGACUGCAAAGCUGUACCUUGCUUUCCAGCCCAUUGCAACUUUCCUUAAUUUAUUUUCAUUUUAAACGUAUUUUUAUGUAUGAUUGUAUUUAAAAUUUCAUCAUAUUUAUACUGUUUUUUGAUAGUAUUUAAUACUUUUG